rnacentral:rRNA from 1 species
CCUACGGGACGCAGCAGUGGGGAAUAUUGCACAAUGGGGGAAACCCUGAUGCAGCAACGCCGCGUGAGUGAAGAAGUAUUUCGGUAUGUAAAGCUCUAUCAGCAGGGAAGAAGAAAGACGGUACCUGACUAAGAAGCCCCGGCUAACUACGUGCCAGCAGCCGCGGUAAUACGUAGGGGGCAAGCGUUAUCCGGAUUUACUGGGUGUAAAGGGCGUGUAGGCGGGAGCGCAAGUCAGAUGUGAAAACUCAGGGCUCAACCCUGAGCCUGCAUUUGAAACUGUGUUUCUUGAGGGCUGGAGAGGCA